AUCCUUUUCCAGAUUAUAAGCAUGAUGAUUGGGUGUUCACACAUUUGUGUGACAUGUACCUCUCUUAAAUAUUGUUAUGCACUUGGCACAGUACCCAUCUAAUA
ensembl:snoRNA